CCUACGGUGGGCAGCAGUGAGGAAUAUUGGUCAAUGGGCGCAAGCCUGAACCAGCCAAGUCGCGUGAGGGAUGACGGUCCUAUGGAUUGUAAACCUCUUUUGUCGGGGAGCAAGGCCCGCCACGUGUGGCGGGAAGGAGAGUACCCGAAGAAAAAGCAUCGGCUAACUACGUGCCAGCAGCCGCGGUAAUACGUAGGUGGCAAGCGUUGUCCGGAAUUACUGGGUGUAAAGGGAGCGUAGGCGGGAAAGCAAGUUGAAUGUUUGAGGUACGGGCUCAACCUGUACAAGCGUUCAAAACUGUUUUUCUUGAGUGGAGUAGAGGUAAGCGGAAUUCCUAGGGUAGCGGUGAAAUGCGUAAAUAUUAGGAGGAACACCAGUGGCGAAGGCGGCUUACUGGGCUUUAACUGACGCUGAGGCUCGAAAGCGUGGGUAGCAAACAGGAUUAGAUACCCGAGUAGUC
rnacentral:rRNA from 1 species